GCUGGCGGCAGGCCUAACACAUGCAAGUCGGGCGGUAACAGGGAGUGCUUGCACUCUGCUGACGAGCGGCGGACGGGUGAGUAAUGCAUAGGAAUCUGCCUGGUAGUGGGGGAUAGCCCAGAGAAAUUUGGAUUAAUACCGCAUACGCCCUACGGGGGGGGAAAGCUGGGGGACCUUCGGGCCUAGCGCUAUCAGAUGAGCCUAUGUCGGAUUAGCUUGUUGGUGAGGUAACGGCUCACCAAGGCGACGAUCCGUAGCUGGUCUGAGAGGAUGAUCAGCCACACUGGGACUGAGACACGGCCCAGACUCCUACGGGAGGCAGCAGUGGGGAAUAUUGGACAAUGGGCGCAAGCCUGAUCCAGCCAUGCCGCGUGUGUGAAGAAGGCCUUCGGGUUGUAAAGCACUUUCAGCGAGGAGGAAAGGGGUGUUGCUAAUAUCAACGCCCUGUGACGUUACUCGCAGAAGAAGCACCGGCUAACUCCGUG
rnacentral:rRNA from 1 species